rnacentral:rRNA from 1 species
GACGGAGGGCGCGAAUGCUAUUCGUGUUGAUUGGGUGUAAAGGGUAAGUAGGCGGUUGUAUGAAUUUUUUGGCGCAAACUGCGGAGAGUUCCUACGCAUUCUGCCUUCUAAUAAGUCGACUAGUGUUGAGGAGAGGUCUAGGCAAGUUCGUACAGUAGGGGUAAAAUCCUUCCAUAUGCGAACGAACGCCAGCCGGCGAAGGCGCUUUUCCUGUCUCAACUGACGCUCAGGUACGGAAGCUUAGGUAGCAAACGGG